GAUGAAGAACGCAGCGAAAUGCGAUAAGUAAUGUGAAUUGCAGAAUUCAGUGAAUCAUCGAAUCUUUGAACGCACCUUGCACCAUUUGGCAUUCUGAAGGGUAUGCUCGUUUGAGUGUCAUUGUACUCUCACACUCCCGAUCUUUGCAUUGGGAGCAGUGGACUUGGGUUUGCUGCUUCACCGUCGCUUACCUCAAAUAGGUUAGUGCAACUCUUGGUUGGACAUAGUACGGCGUGAUAAGUGUUCUUCGCCGGUGCCUCGCAAAGAGGGUGGCCGAUCGGGAUGUUGUGCUCCAAACCGUCUUCGGACAAUCUCUGACGACUUGACCUCAAAUCGAGUAAGACUACCCGCUGAACUUAAGCAUAUCAAUAAGCGGAGGA
rnacentral:misc_RNA from 1 species